GAUGAACGCUGGCGGCGUGCCUAAUACAUGCAAGUAGAACGCUGAAGGAGGAGCUUGCUCUUCUGGAUGAGUUGCGAACGGGUGAGUAACGCGUAGGUAACCUGCCUGGUAGCGGGGGAUAACUAUUGGAAACGAUAGCUAAUACCGCAUGACAACAGUUAUUGCAUGAUAACUGUUUAAAAGGGGCAACUGCUCCACUACCAGAUGGACCUGCGUUGUAUUAGCUAGUUGGUGAGGUAACGGCUCACCAAGGCGACGAUACAUAGCCGACCUGAGAGGGGGGUCGGCCCCCCUGGGACGGGGACCCGGCCCAGACGCCUACGGGAGGCAGCAGUAGGGAAUCUUCGGCAAUGGACGGAAGUCUGACCGAGCAACGCCGCGGGAGGGAAGAAGGUUUUCGGAUCGUAAAGCUCGGUUGUAAGGGAAGAACGAGUGUGAGAGUGGAAAGUUCACACUGUGACGGUAUCUUACCAGAAAGGGACGGCUAACUACGUG
rnacentral:rRNA from 1 species